rnacentral:rRNA from 1 species
AUUGAACGCUGGCGGCAUGCCUUACACAUGCAAGUCGAACGGCAGCACGGGUGCUUGCACCUGGUGGCGAGUGGCGAACGGGUGAGUAAUACAUCGGAACAUGUCCUGUAGUGGGGGAUAGCCCGGCGAAAGCCGGAUUAAUACCGCAUACGAUCUACGGAUGAAAGCGGGGGACCUUCGGGCCUCGCGCUAUAGGGUUGGCCGAUGGCUGAUUAGCUAGUUGGUGGGGUAAAGGCCUACCAAGGCGACGAUCAGUAGCUGGUCUGAGAGGACGACCAGCCACACUGGGACUGAGACACGGCCCAGACUCCUACGGGAGGCAGCAGUGGGGAAUUUUGGACAAUGGGCGAAAGCCUGAUCCAGCAAUGCCGCGUGUGUGAAGAAGGCCUUCGGGUUGUAAAGCACUUUUGUCCGGAAAGAAAUCCUUGGCUCUAAUACAGUCGGGGGAUGACGGUACCGGAAGAAUAAGCACCGGCUAAUUACGUG